UAGAUCAAGGCCUUACAGACUAUUUUGUGA
rnacentral:piRNA from 1 species